GGACGCGAUCGUUUCCGGCGGGGGUGUGGCUUCGCGGAGGAAGUGCGGUGCUGGGAGGCUCUCGCCUGAAGGAGAAGACAGAUGAGCUCCUUCUUCCCUUCUGGACCUGGGGACAAGCUGACCAGCGACGUGCGGCGGUGUCUGGAGUGCGGGCUGUACUCUGAAGUACGAAUCCAGAGCUUGCUGGCGAGAAGCGCCAAGGGAGAGGACGUUGCAGUGGGCGCUGUUGUUCGGUGGUGCUGAGGCCGGAAGGCAGGGCCUCGCUGCUGCUAGCCAAGUACAGCCACUGAGCUGCAUCUCUACUCCUUGUUGUUUGCGGACAGACCUUGCUAAAUUCCCCCUGGCUGGCCUCUAACUUGCAGUGUGCCUACCUUGGCCCCUGGGUAUCUGGGAUUACAGAUACACACCCGGGGAUUUGAGCACUAGUACCCCACACACCACUGGGGAAAGGAGAGCGCCUCGGGAGGCGCACGGCCUUUCCGCUGCGCUACAUCCUAUCUUUUUUUAUUUUUUGCUUUAAGACAGGGUCUCACUAAGUUACUAUGUUGCAGAAGCUGGGCUUGGAUUUGAGAUCCUCCUGCCUCAGCCUGGGAUUAGAGGUGUGUGCCACCAUACCCAGCUGGACACCAGUUUUCAGAGGAGAGCAGAGAGCCCUCCAAGGAGUCAGAUACAGUGGCCUGACCCACAACCUGUUGUUGUAAACCACAACAUUACUGGAGCGCAGGCACACCAUCUGUGUUUACAGCUGCUUUCAAGCUGCAGACAGCAGAACUGUCUGGUUAUGACAGAGAACGUGCUUGCAAAGCGAUUACAAAUCAGCUAAAGGGCCUUGUGUUCAGUUUGUACAGAAAAUCGUAAAGCUGGCGUGUCACUGAGUGGGGUCUGAGGAAGUCCCCCGAAUAGAACGCCACGACCACAACUUGCUCGCCAACCUAAUAGGUUUGUUGACUUGUUCCAGGAAAAGCAUUUUAGGACACAGUGAGAAACAGGCAGAUUUAGAGAAAAACAGGGAAGUGGAGCUUCCUGUUAGGAGCUAAAGGAGGCACAACUCUGAUGACCAGAACAUCCCAUUAAUAAAAGGACUGGAUGAGCUUUUAUG